rnacentral:rRNA from 1 species
CCUACGGGAGGCAGCAGUGAGGAAUAUUGGUCAAUGGCCGGAAGGCUGAACCAGCCAUGCCGCGUGAAGGGCAGUGCCCUAUGGGCGUUAAACUUCUUUUGUGCGGGAGCAAUAAUGGUCACGUGUGGCCAGACGAGAGUACCGUACGAAUAAGCAUCGGCUAACUCCGUGCCAGCAGCCGCGGUAAUACGGGGGAUGCAAGCGUUUUCCGGAUUUAUUGGGUUUAAAGGGUGCGUAGGCUGUGAGGUAAGUCAGCGGUGAAAUGCCCCCGCUCAACGGGGUGAAGUGCCAUUGAUACUGCCUGGCUGGAAUGCGGAUGCCGUGGGAGGAAUGUGUGGUGUAGCGGUGAAAUGCAUAGAUAUCACACAGAACACCGAUUGCGAAGGCAUCUCACGAAUCCGCGAUUGACGCUGAUGCACGAAAGCGUGGGUAUCAAACAGGAUUAGAUACCCUUGUAGUC